rnacentral:misc_RNA from 1 species
AAGUCGUAACAAGCUUUCCGUAGGUGAACCUGCGGAAAUUAUCCCCAAGCAGUCAGUGUCGGAAAGUGUCAUUGAUUGCGCAAGGAUAGCGCUUCUACGAUUCCUGUAGACCGUACACUCGGGCAGGAGCUUUGCCAAAGGGUCCCCAUGCCCCCUAAUAACCCCACAGUUUAAUGUGAAGCUCAAUGUAAUACAUUGGGUAAAAAAACCGAACAACUGUUAACAAUGGAUAUCUUGGUUCUC